rnacentral:rRNA from 1 species
UACGUAGGGUCCGAGCGUUGUCCGGAAUUAUUGGGCGUAAAGGGCGCGUAGGCGGCGCGGUAAGUCACUUGUGAAAUCUCUGAGCUUAACUCAGAACGGCCAAGUGAUACUGCAGUGCUAGAGUGUGGAAGGGGCAAUCGGAAUUCUUGGUGUAGCGGUGAAAUGCGUAGAUAUCAAGAGGAACACCUGAGGUGAAGACGGGUUGCUGGGCCAACACUGACGCUGAGGCGCGAAAGCCAGGGGAGCAAACGGG